UUUCCUCUUCUAACCAGCAUCGCUAUAAAAUCCGAAAAACUAGGGUUUUUCCAAACAAUCUCAUUAGUUUAAGAAUGAGGCAGGAAGAGGCGUGGGAGUUUCCCGAGGACCGUUUUGCCCCUCUUCCUUGAUAACCACCGUAUACGGCGGUGAUCUUUAGCCGGUGAUUUCUCCGACCACCAUUAAAACGGCCCUCUGAGAAAUCGAAGAGCUUAAUUUCCACAAUUUCGUUCUCUUUCUCUCACCUUUUCUUUUUCUUUUUCUUUUCUUUUUUUGGCUGCUCUGAAUCUCUGAACUUUGGCUCUGUUCUUCAUCAUUCACCAUAUUCAACCCCAGAAAACAGUACUACACUACUACGUAUAUAUAUACAUACAUACAUAAUCAAAUUAAUUAAUUAUUGAGGCUGUGAUGAGUCAAUUCAAAGUAAUCGAUUGUUUGGUUUUUGGAAUGUUCUUUGAUACGGGGUAAAUUUUGAUCAUUUGGCUUGGCAGCCAUCGAAAUUGUGUUGUUAUUCUGUUGCUGUUGUUGAAACCCUAAUUUUGUUGGGGUCGUUUGGUUUGUGGGAUUUAUGGGUUUAUUGAUUCGAUUGAGUUGCCGCCAUGGUUGAGAUUUUCCCACUUCGAGAAUGUGCCGCCAAACUGUUCGAUGAAAUGCAGAUCUGAGCCUCCUCUUUACCCACCCACCAAAUAGACCCCAGAUACAGAGGAUUGAGCUACGGUAAUAAGUAUGGUAUGAUUUUUUCACUUUUUUGGUUUAUUAUGUGUAAUGAGAUUGUUAAUGUAAAUGCAUGAAGUAUUGUUUGCUUGUAAUUCUUUCUUAAAUUUAUGUUGAAGAAUGAUUUAUCUCUUUGAUCAAUUAUUAAGAUAUUUUGUAAGUGAUGUUGAUGUUUUAAGGUUUUUUUUACAAAAAUUUGUGUGUGAUGAGAUAAUGCAAAUUCAUGAAAGUAUUAUUUGCAUGUAUGUUUUUGUACAUUUAUAUUGAAGGAGUAUGAUUUAUCUACUUGUGCAAUUAUUCUUCUGCGUAAACAAUGUUGAUGUUUCAAGUUGUUGGUUUCUUUUUAUUGUUUUUUUUUUUUUUAUUAAUUUUUUUUUAAUUGUUGUUUUAAUGUGUGUAAUAAGAUUAUUAAGGUAAGGUAAAUGCAUGAAAAGUAUAGUUUGCAUGUGAUUUUUCUGCAUAUAUAUUGAAGUGUAAUCUAUCUUUAGUUCAAUUAUUAUUGAAGUGUGUAAACAAUGUUGAUGUUUUUAAGUUGUUGGUUUGUUCUAUUGUUGAUUUAUUAUGUGUAGUGAGAUAAUUGAUGUAAAUGAAUGAAAGUAUUGUUUGCAUGCAACUUUUUCUACAUCUAUAUUCAAGUUAAAUUAUCUCUUUGUUCAAUUAUUAUGAAAUUGUGUAAUGUUAUUGUUUUAAGUUGGUCAAUUUUAGUGUGAAAAGUUGACAUUCAAGGGUUAUAUAAACCAAAGCCUGCAACGCAUUGGCAACCAAAUUUGACUCAAUUAUCAAAGUUAAAUUCUUUGAGUAUUUAUGCUCAAUAGUUCAAUAAUCCACCUUGGAAGAACCCUAAAUUGACUAUACUGACAAUAAAAUUAACGAUUAACCCUAGAUUGUGAAAUUGAUAAUCAAUGAUUGAAAAAAAAAAUCUUACCACAGAAGCUGCUUCAAUUGAGGAUAGAAAGCUCAAAAAUUGCUUCAAUGGAGAACUAAGAGUGCGCUUCAAUGGAUAAUUCAGUUCAUGAUAUUUUAAAUGUCAGGACAAAACCAUGAAAAUGGACCUUUCUCCCUGGCAGUGACCCCUCCUGCCCUUGUUCAGGGAUAGUCCUGUGGUUUACCAAAAGUGAGGCAGGGAGAGGCCAUGGGAGUUUCCCAAGGACUGUUUUGCCCCUCUCCCUAGACGACUACCAUCAAUGGAGGUCAUCUUUAGCCAGUGAUCUCUCCAACUACCAUCAAAACGGUCCUUACAUUGUAGGGGUUACUUUGUCAGUGUUAUAUGGGUUACUCGGUUAGUAUUAAGGGGUUACUUUGUUCUACAAUUGGCCAUAGCCACAUGGUGUCGCCAUCCGCAUACAAAACACGCUGUUUGAUUAAUUUGCCGCCAUGGUUGUAAGUAGUUUAAGAAUGAGGCAGGAAGAGGCAUUGGGAGUUUUCCAAGGACCGUUUUGCCACUCUUCCUUGAUAACCACCGUGUACGGUGGUCAUCUUUAGCCGGUGAUUUCUCUAACCAAUAUUAAAAUGGCCUUAUGAGAAAUCGAAGAGCUUAAUUUCCACAAUUUUGCUCUCUUUCUCUUACCUUCUUUUUUUUUUUUUUUUUUUUUGGCUGUUCUGGAUCUCUGAACUUUGGCUCUGUUCUUCAUCAUUCACCAUAUUAAACCCAAUAAACUGUACUAUGUACAUAUAUAUACACACACAUAAUCAAAUUAUUAAUUAUUGAGGCUGUGAUGAGUCAAUUCAAAGUAAUUGAUUGUCUGGUUUUUGGAAUGUUCUUCGAUUUUGGGUUAAAUUUUGAUAUUUGGCUUGGCAGCAAUCGGAAUUGUGUUAUUGUUGUUGUUGGAACCCUAAUUUUGUUGGGGUUGUUUGGUUUGUGGGAUUUGUGGGUUUGUUGAUUUGAUUGAGUUGCCGCCAUGGUUGAGAUUUUCCAACUUCGAGAAUGUGCCGCCAAGCUGUUCAAUGAAAUGCAGAUCUGAGCCUCCUCUUUACCCACCCACCAAAUAACCCCCAGAUACAGAGGAUGCUACGGCAAUAAGUAUGUUGGAAAUUAUUUGGGCCCAAUUUGAUUAAUUUGCUGCAAUGGUUGAUUUUCCCACCUCUUAAUGUUCCACCCAAUUGUUUGAUGAAAUGUGGAUCUGAGCCUCUUGGAAGAAAAGAAAGAAAGAUUUAGAAGCUCCAUUGUUGGAAAGGGUCUUUGUUCAGCAAUAUCAUUAGGUUAAGAAUAAGGUAGGGAGAGGCAUUGGGAGUUUUCUGAGGACCAUUUUGCCCCUCAUCCGUGAUAACCGGUGAUUUCUCCGACCACUGUGAAAACAGCCCUCUCAGAAAUCAAAGAGAUAUUUCAAAAUUUUGCGCUCUUUCUCUCUCUUUUAUCUGGCACCUCUGAAUCUCUGAUCAUUUGGCUCUGUUAUGCUCACCCUAUUCACCUCAACGUACUCCAUAGUCCAGACAUAUAUAUGUAUAUACAUGCAUAAACAAAUAGAUAAAUAAAUAAAUGAGGCUGUGAUGAGUCCAUUCAAAGUAAUCGAUUGUUUGGCUUUGGAAUGUUUAAGGUGCAGGGUAAGUUUUAACCAUUUGGCUUGGCGAAAUUGCACUGCUGGAACCCUAUGGUCCUGUUCUUUUGGACUUGUUAACAGUUCAGAUCAGUUGAGAGUGAGCUCAGGUGGUUAGAGCUUUCUUCCCGAUUCAAGGGGAUUGAUCACAUCAAUUCUCAUCACGCCCUUGUGGCUUUCAGUUCAGUUCAUUAUUUGCACUAAAGUUCAGCUCAAAAGAAACAGAGCCUAAUUCUUGUUAUUGGUGUUUGGUUUUUGUGGAAUUGAUUGAAUUGCCGCCAUGGUUGAAAUUUUCCCACCUCUAAUGUCCUGCCAAAUUGUUCGAUGAAAUGAAGAUCUGAGCCUCCAGUUUACCCCCUCUCCACCAAAGAAACCUCAAAAACAGAGGAUGGAUGCUACGGUAAUUAUAAAUUUGUAAUGGUAUGAUUAUUUUUUUUGGUUAUAUGUAAUGAGAUUAUUUAUGUAAAUGCUUGAAAUUAUUAUUUGCAUGCAAUUUUUUAACUUUUACGUGAACAAUGGUGUAAGCUUUAUUGAUGUUAAAUUUGUAUUCUUGAAUUUGAGGUUCUUGGGUAUCUAAUUUUUUUUCUUUUUUCUUUAAAUUAAGAUGGUAAAUGUUUGGUUCAUUUGUGACCUUUUAUUUUGGUGCUUUUGUUCAGCACAACAAAGUAACUUUUGAGCUAUUAAAUAGAUAUAGGGUUCUGUUGCAUGUAGUUGUUUCACAGUAUAUAUAGUGUAUUGCAGGGUAUAAGAUCUCUAUCAAGCAGACAAGCAGAUAUAGAGUUUAUUAGUAUACUUAUCAUCUAUCAAUCUUGCUGAACUAUAUGUUUGUAAAGGCGGAAAUCGGUGUAGGAUUUAGAAUAGAAGCAAUGGUAUUUAUGUUGAAACAUUGGCUGAACAAAUGAGGAAGGGGUCUAGUGUAAUUGAAUGCUAAACAAGGUAUCCUUCUGCCACGUGUUGGAUGUGGAAAUGGUCUAGUGUAAUUGAUUGCCAUUUUAGUUCUUUGUAGAUUAUUCUUCAUUGAUUCCUCAUCUGUGUGGAUAUAGUCAAUAUCGAUGCCUGUUACAUAGACGCUAUCCAAUAUGAUAUGUGCAGUAAUUGCUUGCUGGGGUAUUUCAUCCAUUACUUCUGAUUGAAUUUUGGAAAGGUUUUUUAGGGAGGGUUGUCUGCUCACUUAAGAGUCCUGUAUUUCAUUAAUAAGUACGCCCCUGGUCUUGGUAUAUUUAUUUAAUCCAGAGUGUCUGAGUCUAGUUGGUUGGUAUUUGAAGGGAUUGCUUCGUUUGCUUAAGCUAUUGUGAUAUCUAAUGCGGUAUUUUUGCAUUGCUUAUGAUCGAAUUUUGGAAACCUUGUUGGUGUUUUAUAGGGAGGGUUGUCUGCUCAGUCUGUCCUUGGUGUAUUCAUUUACUCCAGAGUGUUUGAAGUCUAGUUGGCUGAUAUUUGAAGUAAUUGCUUCUGUUUGCUUAAUCUAAUGUGAUAUCUCUUGAUAUUAACAGCAUGUUUUUGCAUAUCAUCGAAUGUUUAUAAAUCUUCUGUUCUGCAUAGUACCUGUUUUCCAGGCUAUUAACAUUAGAUUGAGAUGAACACUUGAAUGGUCCUUGAAGCAAAGGAAGUUGCAAUUUGGUUGUUUUGGAUAGCUUUAGAAGCUUGAUGCUGGUCAAGUGGUCAUGAAAGAAUUCUGCCAUCUCCUGUUAUGGUUUUCAACUGGGUGUGGAAACUUCAGACUAGGUCAAGUGAACAAUCCUCAGUUGCAUGCUCAGAAAGUUUCAGCUGUUGGUGGUUGCACCAUCAUAACAUGAAAGAAUUCACCUUCCAAUGUUUCCCAGGGAUCACUUUGGACAAGAGCGAGGCCUUACACAGCCAUAGCAUAAUUAUACCGAUAUUUAUGGGAUUAGUCAAAUUUACAGUGACCUUAAAAUGGGUUGUCCUUCAUUUGUCGUGGGCACCCUUGGGCAUGACCUCUACUACCUUUGCAGACUCGGGGGUUUGCAGUACGGAUGGCAUUUUUAUAUUUUAUUUUUUAUUGAAAGAAUGUUCAUGAUGGUGAUAGUAUUCUUGUAUGAAUAACAGUUGCAUACAUUGUAUUAUUCGUAUGUUCAUCUUUGUAAAGCAUGAAUGGAUCACCUUGAUCAUCAUCAAGGGUAUUGUAUGAAAAUAGGAUAAUACACCAUGCGUGCACCCGGGUAAACAAAAAAAGGCGGAAAGAACAUACAGUGUUUGAUAAGGAAUAUACCUAAAGGAAUAUACCUAUGUUUGACAAAGAACAUACCUUUAAUAUGUUCUUUUAGUGU